rnacentral:sRNA from 1 species
UUGCAAGGUACACAGUUUUACCUGUAGC